rnacentral:lncRNA from 1 species
CCGGAGGCGAGGACGCCCGCCCUCGUGUCAGAGGCUGACGCCGUGGGCUUGACAAAGAGUCAUGUUACGAGCUCUGCUACAUGUUCCCACGAACACAGUGCCACUCUACGUAUCUCCCCACUACUGAUGAAUGGGCUGAGACAUGCUGAAACCAGGAACGACAGUCCUUUUAUGAGAUGAAUAAGACUUCAGAGAAUUAUGAAGUUGAAACCACAACGUGGAAGACACCUGGGGUUGACAAACGAGUCAUUGGAGACGCGCUUCCUAGGAGAGCUGUGUGACCAGGAACACCUAGAGUAGUGUAUUUGCUUUGUUAAAGAGUGACUUGUAUGAGAGAGAAAUCUAUUUUCCAUAAAAAUAAAAAAAGAAUGACUGAAAUCUUUCAAACCGCUAUCUAAAAUGUCUGACGCUCGGCUCUGUAAUCUAGCUUGAGCUCCAAAGCUUCUGCUGGUCUUGCUGCAUUGUAGUUUGGUUAUUCGGAUCCCUUGUGCUUUAUAUGAUUUUUAGGGUUUUUCUUUUUCUUCUUCCUGUGAAUAAUGCAGUGAAUUAUGGUGGAGAUUUCAUUGAAUCGCUUUUACAGUAUUAAUUCUGCCAAUUCAGAACGUGGGAGUUUUUUAUCUAUCUUCUAGUGUCUUCAGUUUUUUUUCUUCAUUGCUUUAAAGGUUUUUAUUAUAGAGGUCUUCCUUG